CGGAGAGCGGUCUGAGGCAGCUUUUUGAGAGGCACCAUGUACCAGUUGGGUGUCACUUGCUGGGUGACAGUGGCUAUCCCUGCAAGACGUGGCUCUUGACACCCUACCCCAAUCCACAACCGGGGGCACAGUUAACGUAUAACAUGUAAGUGAUUACGCAGAUUACGCUUAGUCCUAUGCGUAAAACACAUCGUAUUGGCUCUUUGACGCCUUUUAUUUGUUGAAUCCAUAUUAAUUAUUGUUAACUGUUUUCCUUAGAGCACACAAACAUACACGAAAUGUUGUGGAGAGAGGAAUUGGGCAGAUGAAACGUCGGUUUCAUGUCCUCCACGGCGAAAUUCGCCUCACCCCAGAGAGGGCAAGCACAGUAAUCACUAUGUGCCAUUCUCCACAACCUCUGCAAGCAGAGGAACAUUCCACAGCCAGAAGAUGAUGACGACGAUGAAGAGGACGAUGAUGAUGAUGGCGAUCAACAUGACGAGGAAUUUGGCCGUGUGGAACCGAGUGGACUGGCAUUUAGGGAUCACUUUGUGAAUACACAUUUUAGUGAACUGGCACCAGCAGCAGGAGGGAGAGGAGAGCCAGUGGGUGCACCAAGAGUGAGAGUUGGAAGAGGAAGAGCAGGGAGAGGAAGAGCUGUGAGAGGAGGUGCAGCUGGAAGAGGACGAGCUGUGAGAGGAGGUGCAGCUGGAAGAGGAAGAGCUGGCAGAGGAAGGGCUAGGAGGGGGAGAAGAGGAAGAGCUGUCUGAUGUGAUGCUGCAGCUGCAGCAGGACUUUAGUCUUCAUUUCUCCUGUGGGGAAUAUAUAUAUAUAAUUUGUCACACAUUUUUGGGAAGUGGGUUGACCAGUUGCACAUUGUAAUUCUUCUGUAAAUAUUAAACAGAAAGGUUUUUCAUGGAGCCUAUUGCAAUCAUUGCAUACAUACCCCUCAAUCUCCUUUAGCAAAUCGACUGCAGGAUCAGCUGCACCCUCAAGGCCAGUUAUACUUAUGUCCGAGCCUAGGACGGCGUACACCACCGAUGCGACCGGGGACAACGGCUUUGGUGCAGGUCCUCCUCCUACAAAUUAAAUUUCAGUUUUAUUCACGUUUCAUAUCACUGUAGCCUUUGUUAAUUGUAAAUUUAAGACAUGCAAAUGCAUUUCCCAAAUGAAGGCAAG
rnacentral:lncRNA from 1 species